rnacentral:rRNA from 1 species
ACCGCCCGUCAAGCGCUGAAAGUGGGGGGCACCCGAAGUCCCGACUUUAGUCGAGAUCACGGUGAAUUUCAUGAUUGGCGCUAAGUCGUAACAAGGUAGCCGUACAGGAAUGUGCGGCUGGAUCACCUCCUUU